GAUGAACGCUGGCGGCGUGCCUAAUACAUGCAAGUCGAGCGAACAGACGAGGAGCUUGCUCCUCUGACGUUAGCGGCGGACGGGUGAGUAACACGUGGAUAACCUACCUAUAAGACUGGGAUAACUUCGGGAAACCGGAGCUAAUACCGGAUAACAUGUUGAACCGCAUGGUUCAACAGUGAAAGACGGUUUUGCUGUCACUUAUAGAUGGAUCCGCGCCGCAUUAGCUAGUUGGUAAGGUAACGGCUUACCAAGGCAACGAUGCGUAGCCGACCUGAGAGGGUGAUCGGCCACACUGGAACUGAGACACGGUCCAGACUCCUACGGGAGGCAGCAGUAGGGAAUCUUCCGCAAUGGGCGAAAGCCUGACGGAGCAACGCCGCGUGAGUGAAGAAGGUCUUCGGAUCGUAAAACUCUGUUAUUAGGGAAGAACAAAUGUGUAAGUAACUAUGCACGUCCUGACGGUACCUAAUCAGAAAGCCACGGCUAACUACGUG
rnacentral:rRNA from 1 species